UCUAAGGAGAAUAGAACUUUUAUCACUUGUGAUAAAUUUUCUAAGGUCAAUCACUGGUUGUCUGUAUAGACUGAUAUUUCUACUCAGCUGUGAAAAAGUCUUUUUGGCUUUUUGAAAAUUGUAUAGCAAGCGCAAUUGCAAAGUAUU
rnacentral:misc_RNA from 1 species